UNAGAGUUUGUUCCUGGCUCAGGAUGAACGCUGGCGGCGUGCCUAACACAUGCAAGUCGAGCGAUUCUCUUUGGAGAAGAGCGGCGGACGGGUGAGUAACGCGUGGGUAACCUGCCCUGUACACACGGAUAACAUACCGAAAGGUAUACUAAUACGGGAUAAUAUAAGAAAUUCGCAUGUUUUUCUUAUCAAAGCUCCGGCGGUACAGGAUGGACCCGCGUCUGAUUAGCUAGUUGGUGAGGUAAUGGCUCACCAAGGCGACGAUCAGUAGCCGACCUGAGAGGGUGAUCGGCCACAUUGGAACUGAGACACGGUCCAAACUCCUACGGGAGGCAGCAGUGGGGAAUAUUGCACAAUGGGCGAAAGCCUGAUGCAGCAACGCCGCGUGAGCGAUGAAGGCCUUCGGGUCGUAAAGCUCUGUCCUCAAGGAAGAUAAUGACGGUACUUGAGGAGGAAGCCCCGGCUAACUACGUGCCAGCAGCCGCGGUAAUACGUAGGGGGCUAGCGUUAUCCGGAUUUACUGGGCGUAAAGGGUGCGUAGGCGGUCUUUUAAGUCAGGAGUGAAAGGCUACGGCUCAACCGUAGUAAGCUCUUGAAACUGGAGGACUUGAGUGCAGGAGAGGAGAGUGGAAUUCCUAGUGUAGCGGUGAAAUGCGUAGAUAUUAGGAGGAACACCAGUAGCGAAGGCGGCUCUCUGGACUGUAACUGACGCUGAGGCACGAAAGCGUGGGGAGCAAACAAGAUUAGAUACCCUGGUAGUCCACGCCGUAAACGAUGAGUACUACCUGGUCGAAGGUUACCCCCUUCGGUGGCCGCAGCUAACGCAUUAAGUACUCCGCCUGGGGAGUACGCUCGCAAGAGUGAAAACUCAAAGGAAUUGACGGGGACCCGCACAAGUAGCGGAGCAUGUGGUUUAAUUCGAAGCAACGCGAAGAACCUUACCUAAGCUUGACAUCCUUUUGACCGAUGCCUAAUCGCAUUUUUCCAUUCGGGGACAGAAGUGACAGGUGGUGCAUGGUUGUCGUCAGCUCGUGUCGUGAGAUGUUGGGUUAAGUCCCGCAACGAGCGCAACCCUUGCCUUUAGUUGCCAUCAUUAAGUUGGGCACUCUAGAGGGACUGCCAGGGAUAACCUGGAGGAAGGUGGGGAUGACGUCAAAUCAUCAUGCCCCUUAUGCUUAGGGCUACACACGUGCUACAAUGGGUGGUACAGAGGGCAGCGAAGUCGUGAGGCCAAGCUAAUCCCUUAAAGCCAUUCUCAGUUCGGAUCGUAGGCUGAAACUCGCCUACAUGAAGCUGGAGUUACUAGUAAUCGCAGAUCAGAAUGCUGCGGUGAAUGCGUUCCCGGGUCUUGCACUCACCGCCCGUCA
rnacentral:rRNA from 1 species